AGCAGCCGCGGUAAUUCCAGCUCCAAUAGCGUAUAUUAAAGUUGUUGCAGUUAAAAAGCUCGUAGUUGAAUUUCGGGAUCAAUACGUCGGUCGUGCUUCGGUACGUACUGGCGUAAUUGAUUUCUCCCUUCUGACGAACCAUGAUGUCAUUAACUUGGUGUCAUGGGAAAUCAGGACUGUUACUUUGAAAAAAUUAGAGUGUUUAAAGCAGGCUCACGCUUGAAUACAUUAGCAUGGAAUAAUGAAAUAGGACGUUCGAUCCUAUUUUGUUGGUUUUUAGGAUCAACGUAAUGAUUAAUAGGGAUAGUUGGGGGCAUUAGUAUUCAAUUGUCAGGGGUGAAAUUCUUGGAUUUAUUGAAGACUAACUACUGCGAAAGCAUUUGCCAAGGAUGUUUUCAUUAAUCAAGAACGAAAGUUAGGGGAUCGAAGACGAUCAGAUACCGUCGUAGUCUUAACCAUAAACUAUGCCGACUAGGGAUCGGAUGAUGUUAAUUUUUAAUGACUCAUUCGGCGCCUUACG
rnacentral:rRNA from 1 species